GGUCACGGGAGCCGAGAGCCGCGGCACAAACACACGCACACGCAGGCAGGCAGGGGCCGCGAAAUCGAUGUCCGUCCGGGCGCGUGCGCAGAUGCGCUACUGGGCCGGGCCGCUCUCGGCUCCGGCGGCGCUCACUCGCGCACUGGAAGCCGCGCGGCACGCAGCCCAGGGCGCCUCAGCUCGAGCGCCGGCCGCCGACCGCGUGCUGUCCGGCCGCCGCAUGGGACAGGACGCCGCCGACGACGGGGCCAGCGAGCCCCUUCACCAGGGCUCGGCAACCUUCAACUGACGACGACCGCAAGUGUAGAACUCUUUUGUCCGACUCUCGAGAGGUCUCCCGUACUGCACACAGCGACAGACACCUCUGCGAAAAAGUUUUGCAGCCCCGCGGUUCAUGGAGCGUUCGCCGCCGGUGGGACGUUCCGGCCAGGAGGUGUGUGUGUGCGCGCGCGAUGACGCUAUGUGACUGCUUGUUCUACGGCUGAACUGACUGAGCGACGCCGGUCUGGCAGCGUACGAAAAAUCUUCAGUGUGAGCCAAGGACCUUUCGUUACCCUUGCAAGGGUAGGCACGAAGAGGCAGCUGAGUAAAUUCGUGUUGCGUGCCCGACCUGCCCCGUCGCACAGAAGCGAGAGAACUUUUCUCGCAUUCCUUUACGUUGUUCCUUUCUUUUCCCUUGUUUUAGCCGGUAGCUUACGCGUUUGUUUUCGAACUUUUUUAUUUAUUUAUUUUACUUUAUUCUGUUUUCGCGCUAGCCGUCGAGCUGACUUUGUGAAGGUGCCUGGACUGUGAGACUUUCAAGUGCCGCGGCGCGUCGGCCACGAAAGUCCUGGAACUGAGGAAGGAGCAGUCCCGCAGUCCCAGCAGGUUCCGCACUGCUUCGCAUUUCUGACGGCUGUUCGCCCUGCUGCCCACCGCCAAGCACCACAAAACUCCGCAGAAUUUCUUAUGAGGCCCGGAUAGCGCUACCGAGAGAGGAGGAGGAGGAGGAGACUGCAGCCGCUACACGCGUGGUCCUCAAGUCGAGCUGAUCGAAGCGGCCAGCUUACGUGGCUUCUGCAAACUUGUUACGGGCCUGUGGCACCGAUGCGUCCUUGGACUCUAGACGAGGUAAAAACAAAAGCGAAGUUUCGAUGCCCGGCUUCGGCAGCCAAAUUAAUAUGGAGGGAGAAGGAGCCUCGCGAAAAGCCGCUUGUACUUUCCGAGAGAUGACGAGAGGAACCCUUCAGGAAUCAGUGGCUGUAAGACGGGUCAGUCACAAGAUCGAUAAACUCGAACAGAAGGACAAUAUCCCGCCCACACCAUCGUCUUCAACGAGGUGUUUCACUUUUGCUUUCCUUGUGCUGCCGGCUGUUCACGGGGAGACGUGCUUGUUUUUUUUUUUUCCUCUUUGGUCAUAAAGUUACUUAGUCAUUUUUCGUUACAUGUUGACAAAAUAUCGUUGGAAUAUGGAUGAACAAAAUUAUAAGAACCGAAGGAGCGACCAAAUUACACCUGCAAUAAUUUAGUUAAAGUUUUCGAGCAAAUGGCAGAAUCAUGUCACCAGCGACAUUUUAAGGUUAUGCCAAGAUUCGUGUGGGCAGAUAAGUCUUCACGGGAAAAUAUUUUGAAAGGUUAACAAGAUUGACUUCGAACAUUCAUGUCUACCUUCGGUAAAGCGUGGUCUUGGCGCACAUUGAAAUAAAAGUAAUACG
rnacentral:lncRNA from 1 species